GCAUUUCACGUGAAGAUUGGAGUAGUUUUGUGAUUAAUCGGAUGUCUGAAGACUUUAUAAGGAAAAGUGAACUACAAAGUCAGAGAAGCAAGGAAAACUUAUACCCUCAUCGUCUUUCUCGAAAAGGAUAUGCGGGUUUGUCUGAAGAAAUAUCCAAUGUUUUAUGUGAUGACGAAGAGAUAAACAGAGCCAUCCUCUGGAAGAAAGGGCGGCUCAACAAAGCUGGGGAAUAUGUUGGCGAUGAGUUGAAGCAAACAGUGAAUAAGAUUG